rnacentral:rRNA from 1 species
GCGAACGGGUGAGUAACACGUGAGUAACCUGCCCUUGACUCUGGGAUAAGCCUGGGAAACUGGGUCUAAUACCGGAUAUGACCGUCUGACGCAUGUCAGGUGGUGGAAAGCUUUUGUGGUUUUGGAUGGACUCGCGGCCUAUCAGCUUGUUGGUGGGGUAAUGGCCUACCAAGGCGACGACGGGUAGCCGGCCUGAGAGGGUGACCGGCCACACUGGGACUGAGACACGGCCCAGACUCCUACGGGAGGCAGCAGUGGGGAAUAUUGCACAAUGGGCGCAAGCCUGAUGCAGCGACGCCGCGUGAGGGAUGACGGCCUUCGGGUUGUAAACCUCUUUCAGUAGGGAAGAAGCGAAAGUGACGGUACCUGCAGAAGAAGCGCCGGCUAACUACGUGCCAGCAGCCGCGGUAAUACGUAGGGCGCAAGCGUUAUCCGGAAUUAUUGGGCGUAAAGAGCUCGUAGGCGGUUUGUCGCGUCUGCUGUGAAAGACCGGGGCUCAACUCCGGUUCUGCAGUGGGUACGGGCAGACUAGAGUGCAGUAGGGGAGACUGGAAUUCCUGGUGUAGCGGUGAAAUGCGCAGAUAUCAGGAGGAACACCGAUGGCGAAGGCAGGUCUCUGGGCUGUAACUGACGCUGAGGAGCGAAAGCAUGGGGAGCGAACAGGAUUAGAUACCCUGGUAGUCCAUGCCGUAAACGUUGGGCACUAGGUGUGGGGGACAUUCCACGUUUUCCGCGCCGUAGCUAACGCAU